AGUAAAGUCAGCUAACAAGCUAUCGGGCCCAUACCCCGAAAAUGUCCAUCAGACCUCUACUA
rnacentral:tRNA from 1 species